GACAUGCAAGUCGAACGAGAUCCUUAGCAAAGCUUGCUUUGCUAAGUCUAGUGGCUGAACGGGUGAGUAACACGUGAGCAACCUGCCCAGAAGCAGGGGAUAAGCCACCGAAAGGUGGUCUAAUACCGUAUGUGAUACCAAGAGGCAUCUCUUGGAUAUUAAAGGGGGGGACCUUCGGGCCUCUCACUUCUGGAUGGGCUCGCGGCCUAUCAGCUUGUUGGUGAGGUAACGGCUCACCAAGGCAACGACGGGUAGCUGGUCUGAGAGGACGACCAGUCACACUGGAACUGAGACACGGUCCAGACACCUACGGGUGGCAGCAGUCGAGAAUCAUUCACAAUGGGCGAAAGCCUGAUGGUGCGACGCCGCGUGGAGGAUGACAGCCCUAGGGUUGUAAACUCCUGUCAUGAGAGAGUAAAGACUUAACGUUAACACCGUUGGGUCCUGAUAGUAUCUCAAGAGGAAGGGACGGCUAACUUCGUGCCAGCAGCCGCGGUAAUACGAAGGUCCCAAGCGUUGUUCGGAAUUACUGGGCGUAAAGCGUGCGUAGGUGGCAUGGUAAGUCAGAUGUGAAAUCCCGGGGCUCAACCCCGGAACUGCAUCCGAUACUGCCAAGCUAGAGUAGUGGAGGGGAGUCUGGAAUUCACGGUGUAGCAGUGAAAUGCGUAGAUAUCGUGAGGAACACUAGUGGCGAAGGCGAGACUCUGGACACUAACUGACACUGAGGCACGAAGGCUAGGGUAGCGAAAGGGAUUAGAUACCCCUGUAGUCCUAGCAGUAAACGGUGCGCGUUUGGUGUGGGCGGGUUCGACCCCGUCCGUGCCGAAGCUAACGCGUUAAACGCGCCGCCUGGGGAGUACGGUCGCAAGGCUAAACUCAAAGAAAUUGACGGGACUCGCACAAGCGGUGGAGUAUGUGGCUUAAUUCGAUGCAACGCGAAGAUCUUACUAGGCUUGACAUGCUUGUCGUAGUCUGUGAAAGCAGAUCGUCAGUUCGCUGGACUGCACAGUGCUGCAUGCUGUCGUCAGCUCGUGUCGUGAGAUGUUGGUAAGUCCGCAACGAGCGCAACCCCUAUGAAUAGUGCAGCGAGUAUGUCGGAUCUAGUCGACUGCUGUAUAAACAGGAGACGUGGGGACGACGUCAAGUCAGUAUGGCCCUAACGCUAAGGGCUGACAC
rnacentral:rRNA from 1 species